GAUGUUUUGAUUACUCUGUUAGCUCCUGGAGGAAUGUGGACUUUGAGCUAUGCAGAUUUUGACUCUUCUUUUACUAGGGGUUAAAUAAUAACCCACUGUGAGGCAGGUGUUUAUAUAGCUGUUAGGAAGUUUGUUUCUCAAUUAGUAAAAAAAUUUUUUUUUCUUUAAACAACUCAUUAGCCCCAUUAAAUCCAAGUAUAGCGCUGACUCAGAAGCUUUAUAGUUAGGAUUAUCUCUAGCAAUUAGUACUCUCCUGACUUGGUGAGAAGAGAGAACCCCUGUUCUGCUGUCCCGGAAAUGCUGCGCUCGGAUGUGGAGCCCCAUCGCCAGCCCUUGAACCUUGAUGCUGGAGCAGGCAGCGGCUGGGAGGAACAGGGGAUCCAGAAAGUGCCAGAUGAUGCUUUUCCUCCUCUCAGAAGGAUCACAGGAGCAAGGACGUAAGGUGGCCACCCUGGGAUUGCCGAAGCUCGAGCCUCACCUCCUCUCUGAAGCCCUCUGUCCUGCCGACCCCUCCUCUGUCCUCGGGACGCCCAUUGCACCGCCUCGCUCCCAGUGCACAGUCUGAUGCUCGCUUGCCACGGUCUUUGGAGUGGAUUGUGGUGCUUUCCUGGUCACGUUGGUCUUGCCUCCCCACCAAGACCGCAAGUUCCUCACAGGCAGGUGUACUGCUUCCACUUCAUCUGUGACCCUGCAUUAGUGCUGGGCUGUGUUCAACGGCUGCUCAGUGAAAGCUGGUUGAUGGCUUGAUGGAAAGCGGAUUAGGUGACACGCUCCGGAAGGUCUGGAUUAUCACCUUUCUAUGCUUCGUUGAGAAUGAUCCCAAGGUUGCUGAGGGCUGGCUGGUUAUCUGCAGGCAUCUAGGAUUCCUCCACCCGACACUUCUCCUAGCUGCCCCUGGAGCUGACCAGGCCCAACAGUUUCACUUUCCCUUCCUCUUGCAGGUGUCCAUUUUUAAAAUCCACUCUCCAGAUGCUCCUCCAGUCCCAUGUGAGUGAGCCCCACUGUGUGCUAAGAUAUCAGUGCAAAGGAAGCAGAGCUACUGACCUGCCCCGGGAGCCUUCUGUUUAGUUCAGGAGUCAAAACACGCACUGGGGGGUACCUCCAUGGGUCCCCCCAACAUUUGCCUUUCUUCCAUCCCUCAGGGUGUUUUUAAAGCUUUUAUCGUCUAUCCAAUUUCCUGUUGUUCCUUUCCACAGCCUGGGAACAUGGACCAACUUCUCAAUGUCCUCUUUGUGGUUCCCUGACAUCCUUCAUGGACCUCCUUGUCUUUUUAUGGGUUUUAUUGUUAAUCACCAUAGGAGCAAAUAAGAAUAACAGGCAUGGGAAAGUUACAAAGGUCCCCAAAUCUUUACUUUUAACUCCUGCUUAUGGAAGGUAAAUUUGGUGCAACUUUUCUGGACAGAAAAUUGGCAGUAUUGCCUUUAAAAGUUCGUGUACCACCAAACAUAAAAAUAAACUCCAAAUGAAUUAAAGACUUAAAUGUAAGACCUGAAACCAUAAAGCUCCUAGAAGAAAACAUAGGCAGUAAGCUCUUUGACAUUUGUCUUCGUCAUAUUUUUUUGGAUAUGUUUCCUCAGGCAAGGGAAACAGGAAGCAAAAAUAAACAAAUGGGACUAGAUCAAACUAAAAAGCAUUUGCACAGCAAAGGAAACUACCAACAAAAACGGAAAGGCAGCCUACUGAAUGGGAGAAGAUAUUUGCAAAUGAUACAUCUGAUAGGGGGUUAAUGUUCAAAAUACGCAAAAAACUCAUACAACUCAACAUCAGAAACACAAUCAACCCAAUUAAAAAGUGGGCAGAGGACCUGAACAGACAUUUUUCCAAAGAAGAGUACAGAUGGCCGACAGACACAUGGAAAGAUUCUCAACAUUGCUGAUCAUCAGGGAAAUGCAAAAACCACGAGGCAAUAUCACCUCACACCUGUUGGAAUGGCUAUCAUCAAAAAGACAAGAGAUAACAAGUGUUGGUAAGGAUGUGCAGAAAGGGGAACCCUCAUGCACUUUUGGUGGGAAUGUAAAUUGGUGCAGCCACUAUGGAAAACAGUAAGGAGGCCCCUAAAAAAGGGUGUGCCUCUCAAUUCCCACUUCCUGCCUCCUUCAGGCUAAGCCCACCCUGGGUCUAGAGGGACACUGCCUCCCUGAAAGCUCACCACUCACAGGAGGCCAAGUGCUGCUUUUUUGGGCAAAUAAAUAUGAAUUGUGGACAUG